ensembl:lncRNA
GCCUUGCAUUUAAUAACCCUCUAGGGCUAAGACAGCUUUGUGUGUAAGUCCACUCGGUGCCAUAUGGCAGUUUCCAAUUCCUUUAGCAACUCAAUUCUAGCUAGACUGCCCGCAAUGAUUCAUUCUUAAAGGAAGACCCCUUGGGGCUCAGUAAUGCCCCCUCCACUUACCUAGCUCCCACCGACCCCGCUCGGCAGGCGGCUCGGGCUCCACAAAGAGCUGUGGGAUUCCCCGCUCCCUCCGGGGCUCCUCUCCCCGCGACGGUCCCCUUCGCCAAUGAUCUGUCGCUGGAAAUCCCCCUCCCCUCCACGGAGAGGAGGGUCUCCCCGGCUGGCUGGAGCUCUUGCCUUUUUUUUUUUUUCCACCCUCUCUUUACAUGCCUGACUCUGGUUCACGAUCUCUAGUAGGAAGGCUCAACGGAGAGGCGGCGGGAGGAAGGAAGCUAAGGCAUCCUUAAAAAGAACAAUAAUCUUCAGAGAUCUUCACCCCCUUCCCCAUCGCGGGUCCCCAUUCCCCUGCCGCCGCCGGCGGCGCCCAGACCAGAGAGGGCUGGGAUAGAAAAGGAAAAAAAAUCGAGCCGGGCUCAGCUCGCCGCGCGGAAGGAGCCGGGAAGGCGAGCGGCUCCAGCCGGGGGAGUUGUCGCUCGCUCGGGCUGCCCGCGGCGCGGCGGCCGGCGGGGGCGCAGGGCGGUGGGUGCUUGGUGGGUGUGUGUCUGUGGCGGAGCCGGGGAGAGGCUGGGCGCGGGAGGCGAGGCGGGGCGCUCGGGGGCGCCAGCUCGGGCGCGCACACCCGCCCGCGGCCACCCCGCCUCGCGCUCCGCCUCCUCCCGCGCUCCGCGCGCCCGCGGACUGGAGCGGCGGCCGUCGCCGCCGCCGCCUUCUCCUCCUCUUCCUGGGCGCCCGCAGCUCUCGAGAGAACUGUGCCAAGUUCCUCCUUGGAGAGGCAGCCAGAUGGACACCCAGAACUUUCCGUAUCUUCGUGUCGAGACUGCAACUCUAUACAGAAAAGAAAAAGGCAAAUGCACCUCACAGAGAACUGGGACACUGUGAAUCAUCUACUUUUGAAUUCUUACAAUUGGAAAUUAGAAACUUAUGAAGGAUUUGUAGCUAUGCUUGGGAAAUAGUGAAUUUAAAUCUAUCUGUCCGUCUAUGUGCUGUGCUUGGUCGUUCAGUCAUGUCUGACUCUUUGAGGCCCCGUGAACUGUAGCCCACUAGGUUCCUCUGCCCAUGGAAUUUCCCAGGCAAGAAUACUGGAGACGGAGGAUCUUCCCGACUCAGGAAUCUAACCUGCAUCUUUUGCAUCUCCUGCAUUGGCAGGCAGAUUCUUUACCACCAGUGCCACCUGGUAGGCAUAUUUUCUAUGGCACUGUCCCAUUAAUUUAUUUAUUUGUAUAGUCAGUCAGUCAUUCUGGAAUAUUUUGAGCCUCUACUGUAUGCCAGGUUCUAUUGCUGUUCAUGGAUAAUGCAAAAGUGGGCAUGUUGGACAUGAUUUAUGUAUGCACAAAGUUUACAUUCUGGUGAAGGAGCAAACAGCCCACUCUUAAAAAAACACACAGAGAAAACUGUGUAUUAAUAAGCGGUCUGAAGAAAUUAAUAGUUUGAGAAAGAAACUAAGAGAGGGUGACCUAUUUUUGACAGAGGGGUCAGGGAUAGCAUAAGAGUCAUAUCAGAUGAAACUGGAAGUGGAGGAACCAUUCCAGAGAUGGUGGGGAACCAUUCCAGAGAGUAGAGAGGGCCAGUGGUGAUAAGGAGCAACAAGGUAUGGACACCUCUGUGGUGCUUGCUGAUUGGGUGAUGUGAGGUCAACAGAGAUUUAUUGGUUUGCUUUAAGGGAGAUAUUAGAGUCUACAAGUGUGCUGAUGAAAAAUGACCUGAUGGAAAUUGACUGGUGAGGCAAGAGUGUGUGCUUUACCGAGGGAGCAGAGCCCUUCGGAUAGUGAGGAUGUGUGGCUGAGUGGCUGUCAGGGAAUAGGACUUGAUGGGAGGAGAACAUCCACCGAGGAGGAUGCAGAAUGUGAGUUGUGAAGCUCUGGUGGAAGGAAGGGGAGGGGCUCUGUGUCUGAUGGUUUCUCUUUGCUCAGUGAAAUAUGAGAGAAGAUGCAGCUGUGAGAGAGAGUUGUGGGGUUGUGUGAAAGAAACGAGAGAGAUGUGAAGUCACAUGGAGCCUCCCAGAAAACACUGACACUUUUGAUGUGGUUACAUCCCAUCAUUAUAGGACGUUUAGCAAAUUCCCUGGUGGCUCAGGUGGUAAAGAAUCUACUUGCAGUUCAGGAGACCCAGUUCUGUGUCAAAAAGAUCCCCUACAUGGCAACCCAUUCCAGUAUUCUUGUCUGGAGAAUCCCAUGGACAGAGGAGCCUAGUGGGCUACAGUCCAUGGGAUCGCACAGAGGUGGACACAACUGAGCAACUAACACUUUCACACUAGCGAAAUCCUUGACCUGUACCAGGUAGAUACCAGCAAAACUUCCAUUGAGUCAUGGAAACAGAAGGUAUCUCUAGACAUUGACAUAUAUACCCAGGAGGAAAAAACUGCCUGUUUGAGAAUCACUGCCCUAAAGCUACCACCAAAAAAAGAAAGUAUAACUAAUAAGCCAUGGAGAAGAUGAAAUGGCGUAAGAAAUACUGGAUUAGUUCAAAAGAAGGUUGGAAACAAAGGGAAAAAGGAACAAAGAAUAGAUGAAACAAAUAGAAAACAACUGUGAAGAGGAUGGAUUUAAAUCCAAUUAUAGUCAUCAUUAUGCUAAAUUUAGGUGGUCUAAACAUCCUGAUUAAAAGACAAAGAUUAUCAAAUUGAAUCUAAAUGUAAGACUCAAUUAUAUGUGCCUACAGGAAAAUCCAAUAUAAAUAGACAGAUGUAGAUGUUAAAAGAGAAAAGACAGAAACUGUACAUAGCAUGGAAAAACUAAUUAUGAGAAAGCUGGAAUAAAUAUGUUAAUAUGAGACA